CAAGGAAUUUUCCCCAAUGGGCUCACGCCUGAAGGAGCAACGCCGCGUGCAGGACGACGGCCUUCGGGUUGUAAACUGCUUUUGGGGGGGAAGGAACCUGACGGUACCCCUUGAAUAAGCCCCGGCUAACUCCGUGCCAGCAGCCGCGGUAAGACGGAGGGGGCAAGCGUUGUCCGGAAUCACUGGGCGUAAAGCGCACGUAGGUGGCCGGCUGCGUCGGUGCUGAAAGCGCCGGGCUUAACCCGGCGAGGUGUGCCGAUACGAGCAGGCUCGAGGCCAGCAGAGGGUGGCGGAAUUCCGGGUGUAGUGGUGAAAUGCGUAGAGAUCCGGAGGAACGCCGGUGGCGCAAGCGGCCACCUGGGCUGGACCUGACACUGAGGUGCGAUAGCGUGGGGAGCGAACCGGAUUAGAUACCCGGGUAGUCCACGCUGUAAACGAUGCCGGCUCGUUCUGUGCCUGCGUUAAGCAGGGUGCGGGGCUAAGCUCACGCGGUAAG
rnacentral:rRNA from 1 species